AUAGUCUUUAGGUUCAUAAGUGUAUUAACUGGGUUUCACACUAUUGUGUGAGAUGAGCCCCCUUCAAACCUUGUUACGACAUCAACACGUUACCUACCUGACA
ensembl:snoRNA